UACGUAGGGAGCAAGCGUUGUCCGGAUUUAUUGGGCGUAAAGAGCUCGUAGGCGGCUUAGAAAGUCAGGUGUGAAAACUUCAGGCUCAACCUGGAGACGCCACUUGAUACUUCUAUGGCUUGAGUUUGGUAGGGGAUCACGGAAUUCCUGGUGUAGCGGUGAAAUGCGCAGAUAUCAGGAGGAACACCGAUGGCGAAGGCAGUGAUCUGGGCCAAUACUGACGCUGAGGAGCGAAAGCGUGGGGAGCGAACAGG
rnacentral:rRNA from 1 species